UCUUAGGUAGAACUAGGCUCACUGAAUUU
rnacentral:piRNA from 1 species